AGUGAACGCUGGCGGUAGGCCUAACACAUGCAAGUCGAACGGCAGCACAGAGGAGCUUGCUCCUUGGGUGGCGAGUGGCGGACGGGUGAGGAAUACAUCGGAAUCUACUCUGUCGUGGGGGAUAACGUAGGGAAACUUACGCUAAUACCGCAUACGACCUACGGGUGAAAGCAGGGGACCUUCGGUCCUUGCGCGAUUGAAUGAGCCGAUGUCGGAUUAACUAGUUGGCGGGGUAAAGGCCCACCAAGGCGACGAUCCGUAGCUGGUCUGAGAGGAUGAUCAGCCACACUGGAACUGAGACACGGUCCAGACUCCUACGGGAGGCAGCAGUGGGGAAUAUUGGACAAUGGGCGCAAGCCUGAUCCAGCCAUACCGCGUGGGUGAAGAAGGCCUUCGGGUUGUAAAGCCCUUUUGUUGGGAAAGAAAUCCAGCUGGCUAAUACCCGGUUGGGAUGACGGUACCCAAAGAAUAAGCACCGGCUAACUUCGUGCCAGCCGCCGCCGUAA
rnacentral:rRNA from 1 species